CACAUACAGGAAAACAUUCUGGUGACUUUCUAUCCUGAAUUACAUGGCAUUUGAUGCCAGAAAUUGAGGUGGCUACUUCAAAUUGUACUGAUAGAGCUUCCAGAACAAAAAAUGACACUCAGACCUUUUUUGGUGCAAGGCACUGAAAAUCCGGAGUUCAGUGUUGGCCUACAUUAAGUGAGGAUGCCAGAACCUCUCAUGUAGAAGAAAGAACCCAAAGACUUCAAAAGACCUACGUGUACGGCAUUGGAUUUAGUAGUCUGUCCCACUUCACACACUCCUGGUGUCAGCAGCUACCUACGUGUGUGGCCCAACAACUGCUCACCUCCAUUGCACCACCAUCUACCUUGCUUUCUCCCCCAGGAUGAAGACCUGUGAGUCCACUUCUACUUCUACUUUGGCUCAGGCACCAAUCUAGAGUUGCCAAGUGCAGUGCUUUCUACUGUUCAUCGAUGGGGGCAAGACCAGCACAGUCACGUAUGGCUUAGAAGUGGUUUCCUGGAGACCUUUCUUCCAAACAG